rnacentral:rRNA from 1 species
CCUACGGGUGGCAGCAGUGAGGAAUAUUGGUCAAUGGGCGAGAGCCUGAACCAGCCAAGUCGCGUGAGGGAGUACUUCCCUAUGGGUUGUAAACCUCUUUUGUCGGGGAGCAAAAGCCGGACGUGUCCGGCUGUGAGAGUACCCGAAGAAAAAGCAUCGGCUAACUCCGUGCCAGCAGCCGCGGUAAUACGGAGGAUGCGAGCGUUAGCCGGAUGUAUUGGGGUUAAAGGUUGCGCAGGCGGAGUUUUAAGUCAGCGGUAAAAUCGUGGGGCUCAACCCCAUCCAGCCGUUGAAACUGGGGAUCUAGAGUGUGCGAGAGGUAUGCGGAAUGCGUGGUGUAGCGGUGAAAUGCAUAGAUAGCACGCAGAACCCCGAUUGCGAAGGCAGCAUACCGGUGCACAACUGACGCUCAGGCACGAAAGCGUGGGUAUCGAACAGGAUUAGAUACCCCAGUAGUC